rnacentral:tRNA from 1 species
GGGCGAGUGGUGAAACUGGCAGACACGCAGCGUUCAGGGCGCUGUGAGAGCAAUCUCAUGGAGGUUCAAUUCCUCUCUCGCCCACAA